rnacentral:tRNA from 1 species
GUGUUUAUAAUUUAACUUGGAUAAAAUAUUUAACUACGAAUUAAAUUAUAGAAGUUCAAAUCUUCUUAAACACU